rnacentral:tRNA from 1 species
GCGGGCAUGGUGUAGCGGUAACACAGCAGCUUCCCAAGCUGUUAACACGGGUUCGAUUCCCGUUGCCCGCU